GACGAACGCUGGCGGCGUGCUUAACACAUGCAAGUCGAGCGGUAAGGCCCUUUCGGGGGUACACGAGCGGCGAACGGGUGAGUAACACGUGGGUGACCUGCCCUCAGCUCUGGGAUAAGCCUGGGAAACCGGGUCUAAUACUGGAUAUGACUCCAUGACGCAUGUUGUGGGGUGGAAAGCCUUGUGCGGCUGAGGAUGGGCCCGCGGCCUAUCAGCUUGUUGGUGGGGUG
rnacentral:rRNA from 1 species